AUACGGAGGAUCCGAGCGUUAUCCGGAUUUAUUGGGUUUAAAGGGUGCGUAGGCGGCCUUUUAAGUCAGCGGUGAAAGUCUGUGGCUCAACCAUAGAAUUGCCGUUGAAACUGGGGGGCUUGAGUAUGAUUGAGGCAGGCGGAAUGCGUGGGGUAGCGGUGAAAUGCAUAUAUAUCACGCAGAACCCCGAUUGCGAAGGCAGCCUGCCAAGCCAUGACUGACGCUGAUGCACGAAAGCGUGGGGAUCAAACAGGAUUAGAUACCCUGGUAGUCCACGCAGUAAACGAUGAUCACUAGCUGUUUGCGAUACACUGUAAGCGGCACAGCGAAAGCGUUAAGUGAUCCACCUGGGGAGUACGCCGGCAACGGUGAAACUCAAAGGAAUUGACGGGG
rnacentral:rRNA from 1 species